UUGAGAGUGAUGCUUUUAAAGUGAUAGCCACAAUAGAUGUCGAUUCCAGUAACUUUUACAAUAAGGAAGAAAUUAGACAAACCGUCUUCGACCAAAUCGACAGCAACCGCAGGAUAGGAAACAUUAUUACACUGCCCGAAAACUUUUAUUUCAGCGAAUUUGAAGAAGUAAACUGUGAUUCAAAUCAAUUAAAGUGCCAAACUGGUGAAUGUGUUCCAAUAUAUGCUCGUUGCAAUGGAAUUAGAGACUGCAAUGAUAACUCUGAUGAAGAAGGAUGUCCCGUGGAACAUGCAACUGACCCAAUACUAGUCGAAGCUCCUGGAGGAUCUGA